rnacentral:rRNA from 1 species
GCACAAGCGGUGGAUGAUGUGGAUUAAUUCGAUGCAACGCGAAAACCUUACCUACCCUUGACAUGCCAGGAACCCUGCUGAGAGGUGGGGGUGCUCGAAAGAGAGCCUGGACACAGGUGCUGCAUGGCUGUCGUCAGCUCGUGUCGUGAGAUGUUGGGUUAAGUCCCGCAACGAGCGCAACCCUUGUCAUUAGUUGCCAUCAUUCAGUUGGGGCACUCUAAUGAGACUGCCGGUGACAAACCGGAGGAAGGUGGGGAUGACGUCAAGUCCUCAUGGCCCUUAUGGGUAGGGCUUCACACGUCAUACAAUGGUCGGUACAGAGGGUUGCCAAGCCGCGAGGUGGAGCCAAUCCCAGAAAGCCGAUCGUAGUCCGGAUCGGAGUCUGCAACUCGACUCCGUGAAGUCGGAAUCGCUAGUAAUCGCGGAUCAGCAUGUCACGGUGAAUACGUUCCCGGGUCUU